rnacentral:miRNA from 1 species
AUCUUGUUAAAAUGCAGGUUCUGAAACUCAGUAGGUCUGGGGCGGGACCUGAGGUUCUGCAUUUCUAACA